UACGUAGGGGGCAAGCGUUGUCCGGAUUUAUUGGGCGUAAAGAGCGUGUAGGCGGUUUGGUAGGUCCGUUGUGAAAACUCGAGGCUCAACCUCGAGACGCCGAUGGAAACCAUCAGACUAGAGUCCGGAAGAGGAGAGUGGAAUUCCUGGUGUAGCGGUGAAAUGCGCAGAUAUGACAUAGAACACCAAUUGCGAAGGCAGCUCACUACGGAUACAUUGACACUGAGGCACGAAAGCGUGGGGAUCAAACAGG
rnacentral:rRNA from 1 species